CGGCGGGUUGAGCUUCACUCGGCGAGAUCCGGUUCGCGACACGAUUAGGGCUCGAUUUAGUAGAUUGAAAACGAGGAGGAUAUCGCGGAGAAGGGUCACGGCCUUGUAGGGGGGCCAGUUAGCGUAGUUGGCAAAAGAUCUUGGGAAAAUCGGAUCGUGUUUCCUGCUUGCGUUCGUCUCGGGUGCGUGCGCUGAGGAAGAAGGAAAGGUAGGAGAGGGAGACUGACUUGCGGGGCCGGAGUGUCAGCGAAAAGGAGAAAGGAGCGCGCGGCUGGCGGGCUCGGCUGCGGGGAAGCGCUGGGCCGCGCCGUGGGCCGUUGCUCGCGAAGCGGGAGGGGGAGAAGGAGCAGGCCGGGGGUGAGGGGAGCUGGGCCGGGGAAAGGGAUUGGGCCCAGGGGGUUGGCUGGGGUUUUCUUUUCUUUUUUUUUCAAAGUAUUUUCACAAGUGAAUUUGAAUCAUUUUAAAAUAAUUAGACCACAACACAUAGCACAAAAAUAAUUAUGCUCCGGCAUGAAUGCACAAUCAAGGUUAUUAAACCUAUGAUGAAUUUUAUUUUCCACCAAAAAUUAUUUAAGUACUAAAUUUAAAUGCACACAAAAAUACUUAAUAAAAUCAAAUUAAUCCCUAAUAAUUCAAAAGAAAUUUUUUGGGUGUUACAAACUCUACCCCCCUUAAAAGAAUCUCGUCCUCGAGAUUGAGGAGAACUUACUCAAACAAAUAUGAAUAUGAUUUUCUCAGAUCAUCCUCUCUUUCCCAAGUUGCGUCUGCUUCUGAAUAUCGAUUCCACUGCACCUUGCACAUUCUAAUAACCCGACUUCUAGUGACUCUCUCAGCUGUCUCCAAAAUUCUGACCGGAUACUCUUCAUAAGUGAGAUCACCUUUAACAGAUAGCU
rnacentral:lncRNA from 1 species